AUUGAACGCUGGCGGCAUGCCUUACACAUGCAAGUCGAACGGCAGCACGGGAGCAAUCCUGGUGGCGAGUGGCGAACGGGUGAGUAAAGUAUCGGAACGUGCCCAGUCGUGGGGGAUAACGUAGCGAAAGUUACGCUAAUAACGCAUACGAUCUAUGGAUGAAAGCGGGGGAUCGCAAGACCUCGCGCGAUUGGAGCGGCCGAGAUCAGAUUAGGUAGUUGGUGGGGUAAAGGCUCACCAAGGCGACGAUCUUUAGCUGGUCUGAGAGGACGACCAGCCACAAUGGGACUGUGACACGGCCCAGACUCCUACGGGAGGCAGCAGUGGGGAAUUUUGGCCAAUGGGCGAAAGCCUGAUCCAGCCAUGCCGCGUGCAGGAUGAAGGCCUUCGGGUUGUAAACUGCUUUUGUACGGAACGAAAAGGUUUGGCCUAAUAAGCUGAGCUCAUGACGGUACCGUAAGAAUAAGCACCGGCUAACUACGUGCCAGCCGCCGCCGUAA
rnacentral:rRNA from 1 species